rnacentral:lncRNA from 1 species
UGCAAAUUGAAUGUCUCGAAAGCAACUUUUAAGCAAGUCUGUUAGCAACAAAUCCCUCCAGAGCAUUAUGCUUGCAUUUUGGGUAACUACAACCAUAUCUUUGAUGCCCAUUUUAGAUUAUUGUUAGGAUAGAUUGUUAGGAAUAGAAUUACUGUGUCAAAGGAUAUACAUUUUAAGAAACUUUUCAUACAUAUUGCCAACUUGUCUUCCCAAAGGUUGCGUAUCAUCAUCAGUAUAUGACAGUGACUUUCUCAGU